rnacentral:rRNA from 1 species
AGUGAACGCUGGCGGUAGGCCUAACACAUGCAAGUCGAACGGCAGCACAGUAAGAGCUUGCUCUUACGGGUGGCGAGUGGCGGACGGGUGAGGAAUACAUCGGAAUCUACUUUUUCGUGGGUGAUAACGUAGGGAAACUUACGCUAAUACCUCAUACGACCUACGGGUGAAAGCAGGGGAUCUUCGGACCUUGCGCGAUUGAAUGAGCCGAUGUCGGAUUAGCUAGUUGGCGAGGUAAAGGCCCACCAAGGCGACGAUCCGUAGCUGGUCUGAGAGGAUGAUCAGCCACACUGGAACUGAGACACGGUCCAGACUCCUACGGGAGGCAGCAGUGGGGAAUAUUGGACAAUGGGCGCAAGCCUGAUCCAGCCAUACCGCGUGAGUGAAGAAGGCCUUCGGGUUGUAAAGCCCUUUUGUUGGGAAAGAAAAGCAGCAGGUUAAUACCCCGCUGUUCUGACGGUACCCAAAGAAUAAGCACCGGCUAACUUCGUG